GACGAACGCUGGCGGCGUGGAUUAGGCAUGCAAGUCGAACGGUAUCAUCCUUUCGGGGGUGAGAGAGUGGCGAACUGGUGAGUAACACGUAGGUUAUCUACCCUCAAGACGGGGACAACCCAGGGAAACUUGGGCUAAUACCGGAUGUGAGCAACUUUUAGUUGUUUGAAAGGUGGCGUAAGCUGUCGCUUGGGGAUGAGCCUGCGUCCUAUUAGUUAGUUGGUGAGGUAACGGCUCACCUAGGCAAUGAUAGGUAGGCGGCCUUAACGGGUGGUCGCCCACACUGGGAUUGAGAUACGGCCCAGACUCCUACGGGAGGCAGCAGUCGAGAAUAGUCUACAAUGGUCGGAAGACUGAUAGUGCGACGCCGCGUGAACGAUGAAUCCCUUCGGGGUGUAAAGUUCUUUUAUAUGUGAGCAGUGCUUCUUAUAUUAACAGUAUGGGGAAGAGAUAUUAGCAUAUGAAUAAGCAACGGCUAACUCCGUGCCAGCAGCCGACGGUAAACUACG
rnacentral:rRNA from 1 species